rnacentral:rRNA from 1 species
CAGCCGCCACGGGAAUACGUAGGGUGCGAGCGUUAAUCGGAAUUACUGGGCGUAAAGCGUGCGCAGGCGGUUGUGUAAGACAGGUGUGAAAUCCCCGGGCUUAACCUGGGAACUGCGCUUGUGACUGCACAGCUAGAGUAUGGCAGAGGGGGGUGGAAUUCCACGUGUAGCAGUGAAAUGCGUAGAGAUGUGGAGGAACACCGAUGGCGAAGGCAGCCCCCUGGGCCAAUACUGACGCUCAUGCACGAAAGCGUGGGAGCAAACAGGAUUAGAGACCCCUGUAGUCCCUGUCUCUUAUACA